rnacentral:lncRNA from 1 species
GGGAAAAUGUCAUGUCCAGGACAGCAAGCCUGACAUAGGGAACCCAUGUGGGAACAGAAUGUUCUUGUUCUGGCCAAGGACAGACAGAGCUUUCUAUGCAGAAAAGUGUGAAAAGUAGAGCACAAAGAAAGCAGAUCUAUGCACAGUGAACUUGCGUCGUGUUCUUUCCCAGCCUUGGUGCCUGAUCCUGGCUGCUAACUCAGCCCUGACCUAUUUACCUUUCUUUAUACCAAAUAAAUACACAAAACAUGUUCCGGUCAGAAAGGAGAGUAGAAGUUUCUAGAGGCUGCAGUGAGAGAGAAGGGCUCGGACCAACAGGAGGACUUGGAGACACUGGAAGCCUGACCCUGGAUGGACUCAUGAGUGUCUCUGCACAGCUCUUGGCCCAGAAAGCUGUAUACUGCAGGGAUUUGAGAAGUCAGCUUCACAUACAGUUAGGUGGAAGUUAAAAGU